rnacentral:rRNA from 1 species
UACAGGGGGUGCAAACGUUGCUCGGAAUCAUUGGGCGUAAAGCGCACGUAGGCGGUUCGUUAUGUCGGAUGUGAAAGCCCUUGGCUUAACCGAGGAAGUGCAUCCGAAACUGGCGAGCUAGAGUACUAAAGAGGAUCGCGGAAUUCCCGGUGUAGAGGUGAAAUUCGUAGAUAUUGGGAAGAACACCGGUGGCGAAGGCGGCGCUCUGGACCGAGACUGACGCUGAGGCGCGAAAGCGUGGGGAGCAAACAGG